GAUGAACGCUGGCGGCGUGCCUAAUACAUGCAAGUCGAGCGGUAAGGUCCUGCACUUAGUAUUGGAUUGCGAUAACUUCGGUUAUCACAGUAGACCAACUCAAACCUGGCUAGGAAUGAGGAGGGAUAGGAAGAUCAAAUAUUGGGUGUAGGAUACACGAGCGGCGGACGGCUGAGUAACACGUAGGAACGUACCCCAAAGUGAGGGAUAAGCACCAGAAAUGGUGUCAAUACCGCAUGUGCUCUAAGGAGUAAAGCUUCGGCGCUUUGGGAACGGCCUGCGUAUGAUUAGAUUGUUGGUGAGGUAACGGCUCACCAAGUCGACGAUCAUUAGCUGGUCUGAGAGGAUGACCAGCCAGACUGGAACUGAGAACGGUCCAGACUCCUACGGGAGGCAGCAGUAGGGAAUUUUCCACAAUGGGCGAAAGCCUGAUGGAGCAACGCCGCGUG
rnacentral:rRNA from 1 species